rnacentral:RNase_P_RNA from 1 species
AGAGUAGGACAGAUGACCGCCGCUUUGUUUUGCGCAAAGGGGAGGAAAGUCCGGGCUCCACAGGACAGGGCGCUGGGUAACACCCAGUCCCGGUGACGGGCAGGAAAGUGCAACAGAAAGGAAACCGCCUGGUGUGAUGGUUAAAGACCCCUGCAUUGGGUAAGGGUGAAACGGUGAGGUAAGAGCUCACCAGUCCCGUUGGUGACGACGGGAGCUAUGCAAACCCCGCUCGGAGCAAGACCAAAUAAGGGAACGAUUGAGGGUGGUCCGCCCGAGUUCCCGGGUAGGUCGCUUGACCUCGAUGGUAACAUCGAGGCUAGAUGAAUGGUCAUUGCCCCGUAGUCCACCGUAGGCGGGCUCUGGGGAACAGAACCCGGCUUAUGUCCUGCUCUAACA